UGGGGAAUCUUGGACAAUGGGGGCAACCCUGAUCCAGCCAUGCCGCGUGAGUGAUGAAGGCCUUAGGGUCGUAAAGCUCUUUCGCCUGUGAAGAUAAUGACGGUAGCAGGUAAAGAAACCCCGGCUAACUCCGUGCCAGCAGCCGCGGUAAUACGGAGGGGGCUAGCGUUGUUCGGAAUUACUGGGCGUAAAGCGCGCGUAGGCGGAUUGUUAAGUCGGGGGUGAAAUCCCGGGGCUCAACCCGGAACUGCUCCAAAACUAUUGGUCUAGAGUUCGAGAGAGGUGAGUGGAAUUCCAAGUGUAGAGGUGAAAUUCGUAGAUAUUUGGAGGAACACCAGUGGCGAAGGCGGCUCACUGGCUCGAUACUGACGCUGAGGUGCGAAAGUGUGGGGAGCAAACAGGAUUAGAUACCCUGGUAGUCCACACCGUAAACGAUGAAUGCCAGUCGUCGGGUAGCAUGCUAUUCGGUGACACACCUAA
rnacentral:rRNA from 1 species